GCUGCCCCAAAAGUCUUCCCCUCAACUCAUUUUCUUGGCUGCACCAGACAGAAAGUCCAGCCCUCUUUCCCUACUCUUUUCCUUGUUCUUUGUUUCUUUCUUCUCCCCUUCUUACAUGGCAGCCCUCCCUCUCUCACCAAAACAAAAUAUCCCUCUCUAAAGAAGAAAUUAAAGGGUUAAUACUAAAAUUUCAGCUUCAAAUUGUUGGGGGUGUUACCAGUAUCUAAGUCUAAGCUCCUUCGACUUUAGGCUCUCGGUUCCUCUGCUUUCAGUUAGCAGGUUUUAUUUUGGAGCAGAGGAAGCCUUAGUUGAGUUUGGAAGGAGCUAGUUCUAGUUUUAUAUGUAUAGAUCCUAAAUUAGCAAUUUGAUGUUUAGCUUUGUAGUAUUGUGUAUUUUAGGAUCUAAAAAAA